UACGAAGGGGGCUAGCGUUGCUCGGAAUUACUGGGCGUAAAGGGCGCGUAGGCGGCCAUUUAAGUCAGAGGUGAAAGCCCAGGGCUCAACCUUGGAACUGCCUUUGAUACUGGAUGUCUUGAGUUCGGGAGAGGGGAGUGGAAUGCCGAGUGUAGAGGUGAAAUUCGUAGAUAUUCGGCGGAACACCAGUGGCGAAGGCGACUCACUGGCCCGAUACUGACGCUGAGGCGCGAAAGCGAGGGGAGCAAACAGG
rnacentral:rRNA from 1 species